CUCGGGAGUGCUAGCUCACACGAAGACCUUCUUCUUGAUCGAUCUAGAUCUUUUUUUUAAAUCUUUAAAAUUUUUUAAGAAAUUGAAGAUAGACUUCUAGAGGGGAUGAAGAUAUAAAAAAAAGAUGAAGAAAAAAUAAUUUUUUUAAAUUUAUUCUCUCUUUCCAAACUCUUAGAACUAAAAAUCUAAAAUUCAAAUUUUUGUCACACCCC
rnacentral:lncRNA from 1 species